rnacentral:rRNA from 1 species
AAGGUUAAGAGGAUUGGUUAGCCCUUUUUGGGCGAAGCUGAGAAUUUAAGCCCCAGUAAACGGCGGUGGUAACUAUAACCAUCCUAAGGUAGCGAAAUUCCUUGUCGGGUAAGUUCCGACCUGCACGAAUGGAGUAACGACUUCCCUACUGUCUCAACCAUGAACUCGGCGAAAUUGCAGUACGAGUAAAGAUGCUCGUUUCGCGCAGCAGGACGGAAAGACCCCGUGACCUUUACUAUAGUUUGGUAUUGGUGUUUGGUUUGGCUUGUGUAGGAUAGGUGGGAGACUGUGAAGCAUGGACGCUAGUUUGUGUGGAGUCGUUGUUGAAAUACCACUCUGGUCAAUCUGGAUGUCUAACUUCGGGCCAUGAUCUGGUUCAGGGACAGUGCCUGAUGGGUAGUUUAACUGGGGCGGUUGCCUCCUAAAGUGUAACGGAGGCGCCCAAAGGUUCCCUCAGCCUGGUUGGCAAUCAGGUGUUGAGUGUAAGUGCACAAGGGAGCUUGACUGUGAGACUGGCAGGUCGAGCAGGGACGAAAGUCGGGACUAGUGAUCCGGCGGUACGUUGUGGAACGGCCGUCGCUCAACGGAUAAAAGGUACCUCGGGGAUAACAGGCUGAUCUUGCCCAAGAGUCCAUAUCGACGGCAUGGUUUGGCACCUCGAUGUCGGCUCGUCGCAUCCUGGGGCUGGAGUCGGUCCCAAGGGUUGGGCUGUUCGCCCAUUAAAGCGGUACGCGAGCUGGGUUCAGAACGUCGUGAGACAGUUCGGUCCCUAUCCGCUGCGCGCGUUGGAAAUUUGAGAAAGGCUGUCCUUAGUACGAGAGGACCGGGACGGACGAACCUCUGGUAUGUCAGUUGUACCGCCAGGUGCAUGGCUGAUUGGCUACGUUCGGGAGGGAUAACCGCUGAAAGCAUCUAAGCGGGAAGCCUGUUUCGAGAUGAGAUUUCCUGGCACUUUUUGGUGUGUGAGGCUCCUUAUAGAUGAUGAGGUUGAUAGGCCGGGUAUGGAAGCGAGGACUGAAGACUCGUGGAGUUGACUGGUACUAAUAGGUCGAAGGCUUACUUUU